GAGCUAUGAGGAUAGUUUUUAUAUUGACCAAAUAAAAGUGAUUGUAUUAUACGCUAUUCUGAGCUCCGA